rnacentral:rRNA from 1 species
GAUGAACGCUGGCGGCGUGCUUAACACAUGCAAGUCGAACGGGAAUUACUUUAUUGAAACUUCGGUCGAUUUAAUUUAAUUCUAGUGGCGGACGGGUGAGUAACGCGUGGGUAACCUGCCUUAUACAGGGGGAUAACAGUCAGAAAUGACUGCUAAUACCGCAUAAAGCGAUACGGAACCGGUCGACUAGGUUCGUUCGUUUAGUGGAAAAACCCUAACCGGGUAGGUUUAAUUAACGGACUU